GACAAAUCCUUCUGCCUUUCUUAAUGCUAUCAACCUACCAAUGAGGUCAUAGUAGUCAUGACCUAAACUGAACAUGUACCCAAAAGCAAGUCCAGGACAAGUUUUUAGUGUGUGAAUUUGGGAGAUACACUUAGAUAUAACAUGUGUACAUUUAUUUUUUUCUUUUCUUGGACAAGUAUCUGUAAGUGUUUUACUGCAGAGCUUGAGAUCAAUACAUAUUACUAAUCAAUUACUCUUAUUCAUCUGUCGCCUGCACACAAAGCUGGGACAGGAGCUCACGGCAGGAACAUGGAAGCAGGAACCAUGGAGGAAUUCUGUUUGUUGGUAUGUUCUUGGGCUCAUAUUUAGCUACUUUUCUUAUAUAGCUCUCUUAGUCCUGUCUAAGGAUGAUGCUCAGAGCAGUAAAAACCCUUUUACAUUAAUUACCAAUCAAUGUGAUAUGUCCUAUAGACAUACCCAUAAGCCAAUCUAUUCCUGCUCAGUUUCUUAACUGAGGCAUUCUCUUCAGUUAUUCUAGGCUGUAGCAAAUUGACUAUAAAAACUAAACAGGGCAUAUGGAAAUAAACAGUUUAUCCAGAGCCCGAUGAGGAAAUGAACUCCACUUUUCCUCUCACCAACUUGUUCUCAACAGGAGAGACUUACUGCUUCAAACUAUAACCAAAUCCAUUCAUAGCUAGGUUAAAAUACUAUGGUGGGCACUGUUUAGACUUCUAGUUAGGAACAUUCUAAUUCUCAGUCUUGUGUGGCUACUGCUGAAGCAUAUAGUGCUGGGUAUAUAUGACAGUCACACAGAGCCUGAGAUUCAUCAGAAAUAAAUGGAGAUACGAAGCCCUGAACCAGAGGGUGGUUAGAAUGCAGUCAACUGAGAUAACACAUGCAGCGUGUUUAGCCUACAGUGGCUCUCAACGAUGUUAUUAGCAGAUUUUCCUACAUACCGAUUAGUUGCAGAUGUGAGUGAUAAGACAAUUAUGUUGGGUAACACUUGCACUUUUUUUUAAGAGAAAAGACAAAUGGUUUGCAUUACCAAAAAUGGUGAGAAAAAGCAAUUAAUAAGAGAUGUGUUCACCUCAGCAAAAAAGGGCAUUCAGGUUCAGCAUGCCCUGCAAAGGCCAGUCUCUUUAUUUCUAGAAAUCUUUGAAUGCCUCUUAUGAAAUGAAAAUAAAACCUCUACCAACAGAUUAUAUAACAUUACAGUUUUUCUAUGGCUUGCCUCUGCUGCUUAUUGAACUCUAGGGAGAUGGUGCACCCUGCUUUAACACAUGUGGCCCUCACUCUGGGUUACCAGGUCCUUCUCUCAUCAGCACCAACCACCUACGGGAGAGACCAGGAGCUCCAGAGACAUGUUGACCUCAGCCUUUAUUGGGCUGAGAUUUAACACAGAGCCUCUGCUUUGCAGAUUGAAAAACUCUAAGCUUGUAUGUUAGAAAUGAGUAGGUCAGAGCUCUAAUGAGAAAAUAACACAGAAAGACAGGGUGUUUCUGGCUGUUUUCAGAUUGAGGUGAAUUUUGUUUUUCAUUCAAGUUAUGAGGAGUUGAUAUUUAUUGUUCUAUGAUAGAUAACAAUCCCAGCAGAAAAGAGUUGGGGUGCAAGUGUCAUCCACCAAUACCCACAGAGCCUACCUUACCCCAGGAAUGAUGUGAUUGUCAAAAUUGCCUUAUUGUGCUUCUGCUGAACAUGAGUUUUCUACAUCAUAAUCUCUUAGAAUUAAAAUUUGUAUAUUAUUCCAGCUCUCUUCAACCCACAUUGAGUAAGCUUGAAAAUGCAUGGGACAGAAGGCAGAUGAUACUGUCCAAUGGGUUAAUGAUGAAUUCCAAAAGAACCCACAUGCUGUAACAAGCUCCAAUCCAGUGUUUUCCUUUGUCUAGUUGAAGAACCCAGACUUGUUAAUCUAUUUCCAUGCUUGCUUGCUCUUGGCUCAUGCAGCAUGAUGGUUUACCUCAUUCCCAGAACCCAUCUCUGCUUUACUUGAUACUUCCAUGAUUUGGACCUUUCUGGUGUCUUGGAACCAUUCUGUCCUGGCCUUAGUUUCUUGCCCUUGCAGAGAGCAUUUCUGUUCUGUGUCCAUCCCUUUGUGUUUCUGGCUGAGAAGCUCAGUUAUUCAUGUACUUUCCUUGGCCUCUCAUUACCCAUAAGAAGUAACCACAAGAAGAAAGCAUAAGAGUUUUCUCUCCAAUUUAUGAAUAGUUUAAACUCAAAAACAGUAAGGUACAUAGGUUAAUCAAUUAAGAUCACUUUGAGAACUGGCUACUUGUCCUGCUUUCCCUACCUAUAGACUUAAGAUUUCAGAUCACCUAGCAUAGAAGGUAACAACACAAGCAGGAAAAACUAUGUACAAGUUUUGGAGCAUCCCCAACCCUCUGGCAAGGAGUGGAAAUGGGAAGGUAUUUUUGUUUGUUUGUCUAUUUGUUUGUUUGUUUUGUGAGCAGGGGCAUAUUGGGAGAGAUGUUGUUUUCAUUUCCUAGAAUUUCCAUCACUAAGUAAAAUAAACUAGGCAGCUUUAAGAAACAAAUCAUUGCCUCAAAGUUCAGGAAGACACAAGUCCCAAAUCAAGUUGCCUACAGGGCUCCCUUUGGCAAGCUAUGUAUACCGGCCACUCUUAGUCUCAAUCCAGCCCAUAAUACCAUUACUACUGUUUAAUAAGCCUCUUCUUACCUACAAAUCUUUUUCAUUUUCAUGUCUACUUGAAUCACUGAAUAACAUUGAAGCCCAGGGACUUUGAAAUUUUAAUUUUUUCAAAUAUUAUUUUAAUGGUGGUUUUUAAAUGCUUUAUCCUCCCACCACACACCAGAGGUAGUGAAAAAGAAAGGAUAAAGAGGAAUGGACCUGUUUGGAAAGGUUCUUUGGAGCAACUCUCAUUUGUGUUGACUGGAAAUCAGCAGUUCAGUUCACAGGUCAGCAGAUACUGGCAGCUCAAGUCACUCACAAACAUUUCACAGAUACACUAGCAGUCCAGUUUGGUAGAGCAGGGUUAGCAACAGUGGUGAUAUGACCUACUUGCAGCCUGGGCUGGAAUCAGCAGGAGGGACUAGGAGGAACACCAAGAGAAGUUCUUGGCUGUGCCUCUCCCAGGGAAGCGAAGACCAGUGAAGACUUGAGACCCACCAGAGUUGCACAGCCAGCUGUACCAGCAAGCCAAGCUCUUUCUCCAUCACUCUGUGGAGUCUGGUUCAUAUUCUCCAAGCUUCACGUCUCGUCAUGUGCCUCAUCGCAGGUCUUGUCUCAACAUGGAUCUUGCAUCGUGUGCAUCCAACCAGCCUGAGUCCACUGAAGCUGCAAGAAACUGCAGUGUACCACUAGAAGUUAUUUGGUGUGCUUCUCUCUAUGGAGUCUUAGCAAAUGCAGUUCAACUAUGCAUUGUAAGGCAGACCAAUACAUGUGUGUUGUUAGCAAAGAAUCCUUUAUCACAUGUCCUUCCACAUGCUUGCUUUAGCAGAACAUCCUCAAGCCUGUGUCUGCUUCAGUGAAUGUUCCUUCUGUAGUCUGCCUUAGCUUUUCACACCUGUGUCUACUUUAAGGCACCAUUCCUUCACGUGUUUGUCCCAGCAAAACAUCAUCCAACUGACUUUCCAAAGAACCUUCAAGUUUCCCCUUCGGUGCUUGGCAGUAGUGACUUAUUUAGGGUUUCUACUGCAGUGAUAAAACAUCAUGACCAAAAAGCAGCUAGAGGGGGGAACUGUUCCAUCUGACGAUUCUCAGUUCACACUCCGUCACUGAUGGAUGUCAGGACAGGAACUCAAGGCAGAAAUGUGAAGACAAGAACUGAAGAAGAGACCGUGGAGGAGUGCAUGGCAGCUUGCUGGCCUGCUUUUCUUACCUUUGUCAGCUUGUGUUUUAUAGCAUCUAGGAUCACCCGUCCGGGGGUAGCAUUACCACAGGGAACUGGGCCCUCUUAUAUCAAUCACCAAUCAUCAAACAAGAAAAGGAACCACAGGUUUUUCUACAGGUCAGUCUGGUGGGAGUGUUUGCUCAACUGGUGUUCACUUUCUCACAAGGACUCUAGCUUGUGUCAAGUUGAUAUUAACUAUCCAGCUCUGGUAGUUACAUAGCUAAAGACAAUUGUAAUCACUUUGUCAAACUUUAUCAGUAUCUAACAGCCCAAGAGUAAGGGUAGUUUACCUGUGAGCCCCUUCACCCACCCAUGAUUGUAAUAAAGCUUUACCUACAUUGUGAAGGCCAUAGUAGGUAAAUGUUGAUUAUAGUGGGUACAUCCAGUCUAGAAAAUGACAUUGUACAGGCCCUUUCUCUAUCUUCUGGAUCUUACAUGCUUAUAGCCCUACUUUUCCAAAUGUUUUCAGAGCCUUAGAGAAGGUAAUCUAAAUGUUUAUAAAUGAAUCCUCAACUGUCAUCUACCAUUGGCAUUAUGACCAGCCACAAGUCUCCCCAUUCACUGCAAAGAGAGUCUUCUCUGAUUAAGGCUUAGAGUUGCUUUUGUCUGAGGGUAUAAAUAUAUAAAUAUUUAGAACUUUCCCAUGCAGUCCUAGAACCUCCAAGGUAUAAGUUGUUAACCAGGCUUAGAGUCCUGGGCAUAAGUUCCUGCCCAAGAAGCAAAUACAACCAGAAUGGAUCAUCUACUUUUUUCUAGUCAUCUUUUUACAAGGGCACUAUUAUCUGGGAUUAAGGGCACACUUCAGUCCAUUAUGACCUCCCCUUUACUAAUUACAUCUUUAGUGGCCCUAUUUCUAAAUAACACCACAUUUUGAAUUAUGAGGGCUUAGGAUUUAACAAGUCAUUUUUACUGGAGGGGAUACCGUCUAACCCAAAGCAAGUACUCAUGUUAAAAUAACCUGAGUACCCAGCUAUAUGUGCUGGUGCACAUGUAUAAUCUUAGUGCUUGAGAGGUGAAUACAGGAGAAUCAAUAGUUAAAGGCCAGCUUCAGCUUCAUAGUGAUAUUUAGGCCAGCCCAUGCAAUAAGGAACUGUCUGAAAAUUCAAAUCAAAACAAAAUAGCUUAUACUUCCCAUAGGAACUGUGUUAUUUACAGAGAAGAACUACAUACAUUAGUGGUUCUCAACCUGUAAGUCAUGGUACUUUUGGCAAACUUUUAUCUCCAAAAAUAUUUACAUUAUAAUUCAUAACAGUAGCAAAAUUACAGUUAUAAAAUAGCAACAAAAAUAAUUUUAUGAUUAGGAAUCACCACAACACUAGGAACUGUGUUAAAGGGUCAUAGCAUUAGGAAGGCUAAGAACCACAGCUAUAGAUGGAGAAAUUGUGUCUUUACAAAUAUGUUUCUGAAAUUUACAUCAGGAAAGAGAUAUCCUAUCUUCUGGGUGGUCUCUUUCCCCAAACAUUGCGGGGUCAAGGUGUUGACUUUCUCUGGAGUCCUUGAUGACUCAAUGGCUGUGAGAUUUCCUAAGCAAAUGAUGAAAUGAAAAAUUCAGGUGUUUCAUCUGCCCCUUUGCUUUUGAGAAAAUCUCUCAUCCAAAACUGUUCUUGAUGCUUAAUUAAAUCAUACCCUUGUUAUAAUUUGGAGGUGAAGACUCAGGCAAAGGUCUCCCACUGCUGGGAAUAGUUUCAGCCUGUCAAAGGCUCCUGGAGCCUGAGCUGAAUUAGAGGUAAAACAACUAUUUCUUCCCAAUGCAUGGAAGACUUUUACUGCAAUCCUUAUUCCAACAACAGAGACUUGUGUGCCAUCACACAAAACAUCUCAUUUCCUUACUGGUCAUUCAGCCUUAGUUCUUGGAAAAUUCUUCCAUAUAUUGGCCUAGAAAUUUACCACUAACUUCAGGUCCACCUUGGCUUGAUGUGGUCCCAACCUUUUGUGCAU